rnacentral:rRNA from 1 species
UGGGGAAUAUUGCGCAAUGGGCGAAAGCCUGACGCAGCAACACCGCGUGAGGGAUGACGGCCUUCGGGUUGUAAACCUCUUUCAGCUCCGACGAAGCGAAAGUGACGGUAGGAGCAGAAGAAGCACCGGCUAACUACGUGCCAGCAGCCGCGGUAAUACGUAGGGUGCAAGCGUUGUCCGGAAUUAUUGGGCGUAAAGAGCUCGUAGGCGGUCCGUUGCGUCUGCCGUGAAAACCCGGAGCUCAACUCCGGGCCUGCGGUGGAUACGGGCGGACUAGAGUCCGGUAGGGGAGACUGGAAUUCCUGGUGUAGCGGUGGAAUGCGCAGAUAUCAGGAGGAACACCGGUGGCGAAGGCGGGUCUCUGGGCCGGAACUGACGCUGAGGAGCGAAAGCGUGGGGAGCGAACAGGAUUAGAUACCCUGGUAGUCCACGCCGUAAACGGUGGGCGCUAGGUGUGGGGAUCGUUUCCACGAUCUCCGUGCCGUAGCUAACGCAUUAAGCGCCCCGCCUGGGGAGUACGGCCGCAAGGCUAAAA